rnacentral:rRNA from 1 species
UACGUAGGGGGCAAGCGUUGUCCGGAUUCAUUGGGCGUAAAGAGCGUGUAGGCGGCCAGGUAGGUCGGUUGUGAAAACUGGAGGCUCAACCUUCAGAGGUCGACCGAAACCAUCUGGCUAGAGUCCGGGAGAGGAGAGUGGAAUUCCUGGUGUAGCGGUGAAAUGCGCAGAUAUCAGGAGGAACACCAGCGGCGAAGGCGGUGCUCUGGGCCGGAACUGACACUGAGGAGCGAAAGCGUGGGUAGCAAACAGG